CUCUCUUUCAGGGUGAGCGAAGCCCAGAAACUCCUGCCUGCGUCGACUGUCUCCUCCCCAAGCACCACGAAAAAUGCCAGUAGGGCAAGUGCAAACUGUCUGAGGAGGAAAAAAUUACUUCUAGGAUGAAGCAUUUUACCUCUUUUUCAUUUUCUAAGAUGAUCUCUCAGAUACCUUGCGAAGCCACGCAGAACAAAAGGGAGUCAUUACAUAUUUGGAAAAUGCAUUGGACCUCAUGAUUUGGGAAUGAGCUAUAAGACUGACAGCUGGGACAGCUAAUUUAAGAGUAGAAUUCUUUAGGUCCUGUACCUUAAAGGAAAAGACAGUUUUCAGGAGCUGCCAUUAAGAAUAAUCUGAGGAUGACAAAGACCCUGCCUUCAAUCCUCUAAUUAGCUUGGCUGCUCCUAUUCAUCCUCCACUUCCUGAGGUCAGUGGAGGGAAGCUGUCCAGUGAGAAGGUGGACUUCUGAUUACAUGGAGGAGAAAACGUGAAGGCGCCACUUCCUCGAAGGGCCUGAGGACCACUGACUAUAAGAAGAAAGACUCGCUGGGCAUGGUGGCUCACGCCUGUAAUCCCAGCACUUUGGGAGGCCAACGCAGGUGGAUCACUUGAGGUCAGGAGUUCAAGACCAACCUGGCCAACAUGGUGAAACCCCAUCUCUACUAAAAAUAUAAAAACUAGCCAGGCUUGGUGGUGGGCACCUGUAAUCCCAGCUACUUGGGAGGCUGAGGCAGGAGAAUUGCUUGAACCCAGGAGACGGAGGUUGCAGCCAGCCGACACAGUGCCACUGUACUCCAGCCUUGGUGACAGAGUGAGAAUCUGUCUCAAAAAAAAAAAAAAAAAAAGAAGAAGAAAGACUCAACCCGUUCUGCCUGUCCUCUAAUCCUCAUCCCUCAUCUCUAUCAUCUCUAGAGCUAUUACCAAAUGUUUUCAUUAAUGGAAUAACUUGCUGCUCUGGGCCACCAGUAUUAGCAAAUAUAUGGGUUCCAAUUGGUUUAAAAUAGUAUAUUAAAUUACAAGUCAAAACAACUUUGAUCUGGAUUGUAACUCAAGAGAAUUGUUAAUGUUUUGAAAAGAUCUGGGGCCCAUGCAUAUGAAAGGUUCAUUCUGGUUAGGGAUUUGUGGUCCAAUUUGCUUCCAAGCCCUGGUAGGAAUGCAUCAACCCCUCA
rnacentral:lncRNA from 1 species